rnacentral:lncRNA from 1 species
GGCCAAGGCUUCUUGAAAGGCUGGUCAUGCCCCAGUGAUCAAUGAAGAACUCAGGGAUAUCCCAAAACUCAGGACUAUAAGGCACAAUGGGGGAGCAGGUACCAGGUGGCCAGCAUCCUAAAUGACUCUCAGCAGCUGCAGAGAAGUAUAGAAUGCUGGGGCCCUUCCAUUACUCCAUGCACUGGGGAAGAACUAGAAUUGUGAGAAGAGCUUUCACGCUCCCAUAACCAUUCCUUGGCCCACCUCCAAGAAAAGGCAGGCUGGCCUCUGUUUAGGUGUUGUCUGUGCUUGCAUUCCCAACGUUGACAUGAGGAAUUAUCAAUGGGUUCCGGACAUAAUCAGCCACACGGCAGAGUGAAUUCCAGGAGUGUAAAUAACAAGAGCUGCCUAUAAAUCUACCUCAGAAGACAAAGGGAAAAGCAAAACUCUGCCCAGGAAGACCUUACUUUACAAACCAGCUCAACCAUAUUUACCAGCCUUCCUGUGGUCAUUUGUCUGAGCUCCAGCUAGUGAAGUAUGAGUAGAACGGACAUGCACCACUUCCAGACCUGGCACCGGCAAACCCCCCAUGGCAACCCUCCAACCCUUUCCUCAACAACUGGACCACGCUGGAAAGGACUGAGGAUCUAGAGGAGGACAGGGCUGUAAUAUGGAAGGAGUUUGGUUUCUGAAGGACCAUGUAGCAGGCCACCUGCAGGGCGGGAACAUCUUUAAUAGGUUUGGAAUAGCAAGAAAUAAACUGGUCUUGUAUUAA